GUAUUGAUUGCGUGUGACCGCAAAAAUAACAUUCUACACUGUAUCAAGUUUUGUGUGAAAACGUGAGCCCUCCUGCAAAGGGGACCCACGCGGUGGUGCACAUAGGGGUGAGAUGGAUGUUUGAGAACGCUCGGGCGUGCACGACGAAAAAGUCAGCGACAGCCCUCGCGCCUCGGUUUUACGAUAAUGAUCCUUCCGCAGGUUCACCUACGGAAA
rnacentral:misc_RNA from 1 species